rnacentral:tRNA from 1 species
GAGGAUAUAGCUCAAGUGGUAGAGCGCAUGCUUAGCAUGCACAAGGUCCUGGGUUCAAUCCCCAGUAUCUCCU